rnacentral:misc_RNA from 1 species
UGCAAUUCUGCUCUAGGAUCAGCCCCAUAAACUGAUGUACACGAUGUGCAGAGCCUAGCCAAAUUAGCUUUAAAGACGACAUGAUUAAAUGGAGGUGAAAUAUACAAUCGCAUUUCCCAAUUGCUUACUACAAAUUCAGAUGAAUUCAUCCAGCAAUGCCUCUCAGAUUGCCCUGAGAUCUACCAAGAUGCAAUUGACCAGCUCAAGGACUCCAUUGUAGCUUUGGAUUCUAAAGCUUUCAAUGAUGUUAAUACAUGGGUCACUGCUGCCAUGACAGAUGUAGAGUCAUGUGAAGAUGGAUUCAAGGAAAAGCCAGAGAUUGCACCUCCAUUAACGGAUAUGAACAAAAGGUUUAGCCAGCUUUGCAGUGCGUCUUCAGCAAUAACCAAUCUCUUGGCUAAAAAUUAGCCCUAUAUCACCCUACCUACCCUCUUAUCUAACCUAUGUAUAUCAAGACCUUUAUGUAAGAGGAGGAUGGCAUCUAUGAG